AACGCGAAGAACCUUACCUGGUCUUGACAUCCACGGAAGUUUUCAGAGAUGAGAAUGUGCCUUCGGGAACCGUGAGACAGGUGCUGCAUGGCUGUCGUCAGCUCGUGUCGUGAGAUGUUGGGUUAAGUCCCGCAACGAGCGCAACCCUUAUUGUUAGUUGCCAUCAUUCAGUUGGGCACUCUAGAGAGACUGCCGGUAAUAAACCGGAGGAAGGUGGGGAUGACGUCAAGUCAUCAUGCCCCUUAUGUCCAGGGCUUCACGCAUGCUACAAUGGCUGGUACAGAGAGUGGCGAGCCUGUGAGGGUGAGCGAAUCUCUGAAAGCCGGUCUCAGUUCGGAUUGGGGUCUGCAACUCGACCUCAUGAAGUCGGAAUCGCUAGUAAUCGCGGAUCAGCACGCCGCGGUGAAUACGUUCCCGGGUCUUGUACACACCGA
rnacentral:rRNA from 1 species